rnacentral:rRNA from 1 species
CAGUAGCCGCGGUAAUACGAAGGGGGCUAGCGUUGCUCGGAAUUACUGGGCGUAAAGGGCGCGUAGGCGGACAGUUAGGUCGGGGGUGAAAGCCCGGGGCUCAACCUCGGAAUUGCCUUCGAUACUGGCUGUCUUGAGUAUGAGAGAGGUGUGUGGAACUCCGAGUGUAGAGGUGAAAUUCGUAGAUAUUCGGAAGAACACCAGUGGCGAAGGCGACACACUGGCUCAUUACUGACGCUGAGGCGCGAAAGCGUGGGGAGCAAACAGGAUUAGAUACCCCCGUAGUCCCUGUCUCUUAUAC